GAUGAAGAACGUAGCGAAAUGCGAUACGUAAUGUGAAUUGCGAAUUCAGUGAAUCAUCGAGUCUUUGAACGCACAUUGCGCCCCCUGGUAUUCCGGGGGGCAUGCCUGUCCGAGCGUCAUUGCUGCCCUCAAGCACGGCUUGUGUGUUGGGCCCCGUCCUCCGAUCCCGGGGGACGGGCCCGAAAGGCAGCGGCGGCACCGCGUCCGGUCCUCGAGCGUAUGGGGCUUUGUCACCCGCUCUGUAGGCCCGGCCGGGGCUUGCCGAUCAACCCAAAUUUUUAUCCAGGUUGACCUCGGAUCAGGUAGGGAUACCCGCUGAACUUAAGCAUAUCAAUAAGCGGAGGA
rnacentral:misc_RNA from 1 species